AAUCAAGUGCCUUAAGGGUGCUCGGUGGAUGCCUUGGCGCUGAGAGGCGAUGAAGGACGUGCUACGCUGCGAUAAGCCGUGGGGAGCUGCGAAGAAGCUUUGAUCCAUGGAUUUCCGAAUGGGGAAACCCACCUUCGAUAGCCGGAACUCCAAGACCUUUGUCGAAAGACAUCGGUGUGGGGUUCGAUCAGAUGAUGUGAGAAGGCCAGGCCUUUAGAUUUCGAUCGAAGAGGUUUUGGAUUUCCGGUUAUCAAGAGAAGGUAUGAGACUUCUGAAUCCAUAGAGGGUUUCAAGCAAACCCAGGGAACUGAAACAUCUAAGUACC
rnacentral:rRNA from 1 species